rnacentral:lncRNA from 1 species
UACAUAUUCCAAUCAUGCCAGGGGCGUAGUGCAGGCCACACCUGGUCUUUCUCUUAUACAUAACAUAACAUACAUAAUCCAUGGUGCUGGGGGCGUAGUGCAGGCCACGUCCGGUCUUUCUCUUACAUAGUGCCAGGGGCGUAGUGCAGGCCACACCUGGACUUCCAUAUCAUAUCAUCAUGUCAUAACAUAUGAGGGCUAAUGGAUCAUUCAACAUUCAUCCGCAUCAACAACAUUUUAUGCAAUGCAACAUAUUCGUGUAACUAAUGCAAUCAACCUAUUACAUAUAAA